CGAAAGAUGGUGAACUAUGCCUGGCCAGGAUGAAGCCAGAGGAAACUCUGGUGGAGGUCCCGAGCGAUUCUGACGUGCAAAUCGAUUGUCAGAGCUGGGUAUAGGGGCGAAAGACUAAUCGAACCAUCUAGUAGCUGGUUCCCUCCGAAGUUUCCCUCAGGAUAGCUGGUACUCCUAAUUGAUGAAUUACAUCCGGUAAAGCGAAUGAUUAGAGGUCUUGGGGACGAAACGUCCUCAACCUAUUCUCAAACUUUAAAUGGGUGAGAUGUCAAGCUUGCUUAAUUGUGAAGCUUUGACAGUUAAUCAAGAGUAUCUAGUGGGCCACUUUU
rnacentral:rRNA from 1 species